rnacentral:lncRNA from 1 species
GUUUUCAUAGCCAAGACCCAAUUCUCUAAGAUAUUUCUUGGCCUCAUCAUAUGAUUUUGGCAACUCACUCUGAGGGUAUCCUUCUGACAUCAACUUGAUCAUCGCAGAAAAUGCUGUAUUGCCAAUUCGAUAAUGAGACUUGAUAUACAACAUCCUCACCAAAAAAGAGAAUUUUGAGUGCCUAGAUCCUGGGCUAAGUGACUUCUUCGCAUCUUCAAGGACUCUUG